rnacentral:rRNA from 1 species
AUGAACGCUGGCGGCGUGCCUAAUACAUGCCAGUCGAGCGAACGGACGAGAAGCUUGCUUCUCUGAUGUUAGCGGCGGACGGGUGAGUAACACGUGGAUAACCUACCUAUAAGACUGGGAUAACUUCGGGAAACCGGAGCUAAUACCGGAUAAUAUUUUGAACCGCAUGGUUCAAAAGUGAAAGACGGUCUUGCUGUCACUUAUAGAUGGAUCCGCGCUGCAUUAGCUAGUUGGUAAGGUAACGGCUUACCAAGGCAACGAUGCAUAGCCGACCUGAGAGGCUGAUCGCCCACCCGGGAUCUACGCCACGAUCCUGACUCCUGCGGGCGGCAGCAGCAGGAACUUUGCCGCAAUGGGCGACAGCCUGCCGGCGCCACGCCGCGCGAGUGAUGAAGCUCUUCGGAUCGUAAUACUCUGUUAUUAGGUAAGAACAUAUGUGUACGUAACUGUGCACAUCUUGACGGUACCUAAUCAGAAAGCCACGGCUAACUCCGA